rnacentral:tRNA from 1 species
CGCGGGGUGGAGCAGUUGGCAGCUCGUUGGGCUCAUAACCCAAAGGUCGUAGGUUCGAGUCCUACCCCCGCUA